CACCAUGCAUAACCACAUGGAAAAUGGUAUUGCCAAAGUUCAGAGUUUAGCCACAACUGCUGAAACGUGAAAUCAAAGUAAAAGCUUUGCUAAUGGAAUAAUGGCAAAAAUUGCAGACGUUUCUGGAGUGAGACAAAAAGUGAAUGCAAACCGAGACUGAGAGUGAUCACGCGAUCGGUUUGGCAAUGCGGCAGCGCUUUAUGGGGACUUAAUGAUAUAACAAAGUGAAUUGUUUUAUAAACUAUUUGGCGCGGCAUAAAUAAUUGCACGCCAUCAAACUAAGGCUUUAUAAGGCCCUUGCACGACAUCGCCACUAAAUGAGUUGUAAACUCUCAAAUGCACUCAAGGUGUUGAAAAUUUAUUCCAAAAUAUAUAUAAAUUAUGUGAAGAACACUCGCUGCACUCGCAUCAUCUCUCUUUGGCAUUGACUCUAUGUCAAGUGCUCGGUGCAAGAUUCAAAAGCAAUAAUAAAUCAACGGCCCUGGCAACGGUUUGAGCGGUUUUCAACAAGGCUACUGCCGCAGCUGAGGCUAAAUAAAAGCAUCCAGACUUGAUGGCAAACCGCAAAUAAAUAUCAGGCAAAUGAAAUCAGCCAGAUCAUCUGGCAGCACUCAGCAAAAUAUGUAUGGAUUUUAAAUAUCACAUUUUCAAAAUAUAUAAACAAAUGUUAUUGCAUUGUGUACCUUAAA